rnacentral:rRNA from 1 species
CAGUAGCCGCGGUAAAACGAAGGGUGCAAGCGUUAAUCGGAAUUACUGGGCGUAAAGCGUGCGUAGGCGGUUUGUUAAGUCUGCUGUGAAAUCCCCGGGCUCAACCUGGGAAUGGCAGUGGAUACUGGCAAGCUAGAGUGUGUCAGAGGAUGGUGGAAUUCCCGGUGUAGCGGUGAAAUGCGUAGAGAUCGGGAGGAACAUCAGUGGCGAAGGCGGCCAUCUGGGACAACACUGACGCUGAGGCACGAAAGCGUGGGGAGCAAACAGGAUUAGAUACCCCUGUAGUCCCUGUCUCUUAUAC